rnacentral:rRNA from 1 species
UGCAUUCAGUUGCCAUCGGGUAAUGCCGGGCACUCUGGAAGGACUGCCAUCGACAAGAUGGAGGAAGGUGGGGAUGACGUCAAGUCAUCAUGGCCCUUAUGUCCAGGGCGACACACGUGCUACAAUGGCCGGCACAACGGGAAGCGAGUUCGCGAGGACGAGCGGAUCCCUCAAAGCCGGUCGCAGUUCGGAUUGAAGUCUGCAACCCGACUUCAUGAAGCUGGAAUCGCUAGUAAUCGUGGAUCAGCCAAGCCGCGGUGAAUACGUUCCCGGGCCUU